GGCAAAGAGGGGGUACUGAAUGGUCUCAUAAAAAGCCUGCUCUUCAGCACCAGCCAGGCGGAACGGGAUACGGUGGUGUCAGAUAAACCUAUGACAGCAGCUUCACCAACACACAACACACACAGAACAGAUACCCAAUACACAACACACACACUACUUUUAUAACAAGGGGAGCACAGACACAAAACACACAGAUUUCCCAAACCGUGUGUCCCAGUCAAGCACUGUGGGCUGCAGUGAGAUGAGGACACAGGAGCACCUUGGGUUAGUCUGCAUCUUGGUGGCUGGUGGCGCUGGUGGAGUUUUAACUGGAGAGGUAUUUCUGGUUGUCACGGUACUGUUAGCAUAAUGCUUUGGGAACAGAAGCUUCUCCCUGUGGCCGUAUGAAGUUCCAGCCACAAAAGCAGCAGGGAGCAUGAAGCAUAGUCUCCAGGGCCACUGUUCCUUUUCUGCUGACCCCAGAGGGAGGCAGGGAAACCGCUCGCCCCAUUGCUCUUCUGGAAGCCUGUGGCUCCCACGCUGUCCUCGGGCCAUGCUGUCUCUGCCGUGUUCCAUCUUCUCCCGAGUGACACUGCCCAUUCCGUGCAGCCGUCUGUCCUUCCCCCGCUGCUGCUCCCCUGCACCACUGGCUGGGCUGUCCUCAUCCUGGUCUUUUCAGUUGCUUGUCACAUCUUUUUAAAUCCUCCAACUCACUUCCUUUCUUUGAGGGUCCUUGUUCUCUGUCAUCCUUCCUGUGCCUUCCAUUCAGUUCACCUCGGCUUCCAGUGUCUGAGUGUCAUUCCAGCCAGCGGGCUCCAUGCUGGGCAACUCAGUUUUCUCAUGCCACAGCUUUUUACAUUUCUGUGCAUCAGCAAAUUCCAAAUUUGGGUGUCCUGGUUUGGUAACAUGUAAGGACAAGGAGCUCAACAUUCUUUAAAAACAAGGUAGCUUGAGAAUAAGGAUUCUAGGUGAUUUGCACAUGGUUGAGAGUGUCUUGCAUCACCUGUUCUCAGAACAUUAGGAUGCCUGAAACACAAAACCACCAGUACAUUCUGAUUCUACCUUUUUAAAAUGCUGCUGCAAUUGAACAGUCAUUAAAGAAAACCAGACCCAAAUUAAAAUUUCUGCCUGCAGCAUUUUUGCCAUGUUGUGGGAGUUUGUUUAAUCUACUCCCAGUCAAUUUCAAAUAAACAGUAGCAGAGUUCGUUUAAGAUGACUGCCAUUGCUAACACAGCUGAAUGAAAUCAGAGGUCUCUUUGUAGGCUCCCAGUAGAUCCAGGCCCUGUAGGACCAGUUCACUUGUCCACUGUAGCUAAAUAGAUCAUACAAAAGGGCCCAAAUGAACAGAUCUACCAGAUAGGAAUAUGAUGAAGUGGCCUGUGGAGACCGCUGCCACAGUCACUCUGUCAUGCCUUCUGUAUACCCCAGCCCAAUUCUAAAGGAGCUUUGCAAGCUGACUCAUCUCACAGUAUUGCUGUGUUUAAUCAUAAUUGGUCUCUUCCCAUUCAUGUCACUGAUCAUUUGUGUUGAAUUCUUUAUUAUUUUAAGUUAUUCUGCAUGAGCAUAGAAAGUAGUUAAUAUUCACGAGUUGCCUGUGGUGUAUACUUCAUCUCACUUGAGUCUGUUGAGAAGUGUGUUUGGGGGAAUCAUCCACUGGUGACACUGCCGGUCUGAGUAACCCUGUCUCCCUUUCUCGGCUCUGAAGGAACUACCUUGUUCUGCACUAGCUCCAUCCCUAGAGCCCUGCUUCUCCAGGCCCGAGAGACCAGCAAACCGUCGCCCUCCGUCCCGUUGGGCCCCACAUUCCCCCACUGCCUCACAGCCUCAGUCACCCGGAGACCCGACGUCCUUGGAGGAGCAUGGUGGCGAGGAGCCGCCCGAGGAGCAGCCACACCGAGAUGCAAGCUUGCAUGGAUUAUCACAGUAUAAUUCACUGUAAUUUGCAUAACCACACCAUCACCAUGAACAAAACUCUGCCCAAAAGGAGAGAUCUAGUUUUCUCAAGGUCAAAGAAUGUUUUUUAAAAACACACAGCUGCUGAAUGUUCAACCUGUGAAACUGAGAUGUUUCUAGAAUGAAACAGUAAAUGUGCCUGUAAUAAUUUUUUUCAUAGCUCAGAAAACUAUUUUUGUCUCCAUCUUUUUUACACACAGUAUAUUAAACGAAAAGGUAAAUAAGGUAUAAAUAGAUUUAAAAAAUAAAAGUUUUAAAAGGUGUACAUUUUAAGAGAUUCUGAACACCCUCGUUGUCAAUACCUGACUGCCUCUCUGUUAAAUUUGCACUGUUACAUUUUGAUUCAGUUUAUUUCCAUGUUGAAUUAGAGUGGAUUAAGUUAAUUUUAUUUUGUCAGUGUUACUGUUUUUUACGAAUUUUUUAAUGCUUCAGACUGUCUGAUUCAGUGAACUUUUUGUAGUGAAAAAGCCAUGAAGCCAGUAGACAAGACAGAUAUUCUCUAUGCUGGAGGGGAUACAGGAUGAUUUUGAAAAGGUACAAAGUCCUCAGUGGGCUUAGAAAAUUCACUGUAUGAUCCUUAUAUUAUCCUACUUGGCUUGCACGUCUUCGGGUGCAUGUAUAUACCGCUACUGUGUCCUCGCCAUCACCUAAAUGUGACUCAGUCUGUUCCACUGUAAUAUGUUGUGAAUUUCCUUGUACUGUACUUUUAUUGUUGGUCUUCUUGCAUCGAUGAUCCAACAGCAACAACAUUUUUAAAUUAUUGUGAAAAGAUUAACUGGCAAUGUACAGAGUUUACUCAAAGUUUUCUUAAGGGAAAACACUACAAAAAGUCACGAGGAUACCAAAUGGAAACACGUGAUGGUGCCUCUGAGUCUGUAUGAGACCGUGAUGAAGUAGAAAUAAAGCCCUUCUGAGAUGGCA
rnacentral:sRNA from 1 species